AUUGAACGCUGGCGGCAGGCCUAACACAUGCAAGUCGAGCGAGCGGCGGACGGGUGAGUAAUGUAUGGGGAUCUGCCUGAUGGAGGGGGAUAACUACUGGAAACGGUAGCUAAUACCGCAUACCAUCGGAUGAACCCAUAUGGGAUUAGCUAGUAGGUGGGGUAACGGCUCACCUAGGCGACGAUCCCUAGCUGGUCUGAGAGGAUGAUCAGCCACACUGGGACUGAGACACGGCCCAGACUCCUACGGGAGGCAGCAGUGGGGAAUAUUGCACAAUGGGCGCAAGCCUGAUGCAGCCAUGCCGCGUGUAUGAAGAAGGCCUUCGGGUUGUAAAGUACUUUCAGUAGGGAGGCGUUAACGACAGAAGAAGCACCGGCUAACUCCGUGCCAGCAGCCGCGGUAAUUC
rnacentral:rRNA from 1 species